CCUACGGGAGGCAGCAGUGGGGAAUAUUGGGCAAUGGGCGCAAGCCUUACCCAGCAACGCCGCGUGAAGGAAGAAGGCUUUCGGGUUGUAAACUUCUUUUGUCAGGGACGAAGCAAGUGACGGUACCUGACGACUAAGCCACGGCUAACUACGUGCCAGCAGCCGCGGUAAUACGUAGGUGGCAAGCGUUAUCCGGAUUUACUGGGUGGAAAGGGCGUGUAGGCGGGGAAGCAAGUCAGAUGUGAAAACCACGGGCUCAACCUGUGGCCUGCAUUUGAAACUGUUUUUCUUGAGUGCUGGAGAGGCAAUCGGAAUUCCGUGUGUAGCGGUGAAAUGCGUAGAUAUACGGAGGAACACCAGUGGCGAAGGCGGAUUGCUGGACAGUAACUGACGCUGAGGCGCGAAAGCGUGGGGAGCAAACAGGAUUAGAUACCCGGGUAGUC
rnacentral:rRNA from 1 species